rnacentral:misc_RNA from 1 species
CGCCGAUUCAACUCGGAUGUCGCCGAUUCUCACCGUCACAAACCUCUCAAACAUCCCAGCAUUAAAAUCUCAAAACCACCAAUUUCCUCAUCCUCUCUUCCNNNNNNNNNNNNGAAGGAUAAGCAGAUAGCAGAAGUCGUAUCUUUAGCUUUCCAGAAAUUGAUUUGGAGACCUCCUCAAAUAUAGAUAGCCAUAAAAACCCUAAUUUCUGAAAAUCAUCAUCGAUUUCUAAGCCAAACGAAGCAACAGAAAGAUGGGGAAGAAACAGCACAGCAAAGAUCGAAUGUUCAUAACGAAAACAGAAUGGGCCACGGAAUGGGGCGGCGCCAAAACCAAAGAGGUCACCCGUUUCAAGCGCCUCCCCUUCUAUUGCUGCGCUCUUACAUUUACCCCAUAUGAGUAUCCAGUGUGCACAGCAGAUGGAAGCGUCUUCGAUAUAAUGAACAUAACU